GCAAGUCGAGCGGUAACAGGAAGUGCUUGCACUUCGCUGACGAGCGGCGGACGGGUGAGUAACGCGUAGGAAUCUACCUUUCAGUUGGGGAUAGCCAGUAGAAAUGCUGAUUAAUACCGAAUACGGUCUACGGACGAAAGGGGGCUUCGGCUCCCGCUGAGAGAGGAGCCUGCGUUGGAUUAGCUAGUUGGUGGGGUAAAGGCCUACCAAGGCGAUGAUCUGUAGCUGGUUUGAGAGGACGAUC
rnacentral:rRNA from 1 species